rnacentral:rRNA from 1 species
UACGUAGGGACCAAGCGUUGUUCGGAUUUACUGGGCGUAAAGGGCGCGUAGGCGGCAAUUCAAGUCAUCUGUGAAAUCUCCGGGCUUAACUCGGAACGGUCAGAUGAUACUGCUUUGCUAGAGUGCAGAAGGGGCAAUCGGAAUUCUCGGUGUAGUGGUGAAAUGUGUAGAGAUCGGGAGGAACACCGGUGGCGAAGGCGGGUCUCUGGGCAUCUCCUGACGCUGAGGCGCGAAAGCGUGGGGAGCAAACGGG